rnacentral:rRNA from 1 species
AGCCAGGAUGUUGGCUUAGAAGCAGCCAUCAUUUAAAGAAAGCGUAAUAGCUCACUGGUCGAGUCGGCCUGCGCGGAAGAUGUAACGGGGCUAAACCAUGCACCGAAGCUGCGGCAGCGACGCUGAUGCGUUGUUGGGUAGGGGAGCGUUCUGUAAGCCUGUGAAGGUGUGCUGUGAGGCAUGCUGGAGGUAUCAGAAGUGCGAAUGCUGACAUAAGUAACGAUAAAGCGGGUGAAAAGCCCGCUCGCCGGAAGACCAAAGGUUCCUGUCCAACGUUAAUCGGGGCAGGGUGAGUCGACCCCUAAGGCGAGGCCGAAAGGCGUAGUCGAUGGGAAACAGGUUAAUAUUCCUGUACUUGGUGUUACUGCGAAGGGGGGACGGAGAAGGCUAUGUUGGCCGGGCGACGGUUGUCCCGGUUUAAGCGUGUAGGCUGGUUUUCCAGGCAAAUCCGGAAAAUCAAGGCUGAGGCGUGAUGACGAGGCACUACGGUGCUGAAGCAACAAAUGCCCUGCUUCCAGGAAAAGCCUCUAAGCAUCAGGUAACAUCAAAUCGUACCCCAAACCGACACAGGUGGUCAGGUAGAGAAUACCAAGGCGCUUGAGAGAACUCGGGUGAAGGAACUAGGCAAAAUGGUGCCGUAACUUCGGGAGAAGGCACGCUGAUAUGUAGGUGAAGCGACUUGCUCGUGGAGCUGAAAUCAGUCGAAGAUACCAGCUGGCUGCAACUGUUUAUUAAAAACACAGCACUGUGCAAACACGAAAGUGGACGUAUACGGUGUGACGCCUGCCCGGUGCCGGAAGGUUAAUUGAUGGGGUCAGCGCAAGCGAAGCUCUUGAUCGAAGCCCCGGUAAACGGCGGCCGUAACUAUAACGGUCCUAAGGUAGCGAAAUUCCUUGUCGGGUAAGUUCCGACCUGCACGAAUGGCGUAAUGAUGGCCAGGCUGUCUCCACCCGAGACUCAGUGAAAUUGAACUCGCUGUGAAGAUGCAGUGUACCCGCGGCAAGACGGAAAGACCCCGUGAACCUUUACUAUAGCUUGACACUGAACAUUGAGCCUUGAUGUGUAGGAUAGGUGGGAGGCUUUGAAGUGUGGACGCCAGUCUGCAUGGAGCCGGCCUUGAAAUACCACCCUUUAAUGUUUGAUGUUCUAACGUGGACCCGUAAUCCGGGUUGCGGACAGUGUCUGGUGGGUAGUUUGACUGGGGCGGUCUCCUCCUAAAGAGUAACGGAGGAGCACGAAGGUUGGCUAAUCCUGGUCGGACAUCAGGAGGUUAGUGCAAUGGCAUAAGCCAGCUUGACUGCGAGCGUGACGGCGCGAGCAGGUGCGAAAGCAGGUCAUAGUGAUCCGGUGGUUCUGAAUGGAAGGGCCAUCGCUCAACGGAUAAAAGGUACUCCGGGGAUAACAGGCUGAUACCGCCCAAGAGUUCAUAUCGACGGCGGUGUUUGGCACCUCGAUGUCGGCUCAUCACAUCCUGGGGCUGAAGUAGGUCCCAAGGGUAUGGCUGUUCGCCAUUUAAAGUGGUACGCGAGCUGGGUUUAGAACGUCGUGAGACAGUUCGGUCCCUAUCUGCCGUGGGCGCUGGAGAACUGAGGGGGGCUGCUCCUAGUACGAGAGGACCGGAGUGGACGCAUCACUGGUGUUCGGGUUGUCAUGCCAAUGGCACUGCCCGGUAGCUAAAUGCGGAAGAGAUAAGUGCUGAAAGCAUCUAAGCACGAAACUUGCCCCGAGAUGAGUUCUCCCUGACUCCUUGAGAGUCCUGAAGGAACGUUGAAGACGACGACGUUGAUAGGCCGGGUGUGUAAGCGCAGCGAUGCGUUGAGCUAACCGGUACUAAUGAACCGUGAGGCUUAACCUU